rnacentral:rRNA from 1 species
AAGUCGGUGAGGUAACCUUUUUGGAGCCAGCCGCCGAAGGUGGGACAGAUGAUUGGGGUGAAGUCGUAACAAGGUAGCCGUAUCGGAAGGUGCGGCUGGAUCACCUCCUUUCUAAGGAA